rnacentral:rRNA from 1 species
UGCAGUCGAGCGACAGAUAAGGAGCUUGCUCCUUUGACGUUAGCGGCGGACGGGUGAGUAACACGUGGAUAACCUACCUAUAAGACUGGGAUAACUUCGGGAAACCGGAGCUAAUACCGGAUAACAUAUUGAACCGCAUGGUUCAAUAGUGAAAGGCGGCUUUGCUGUCACUUAUAGAUGGAUCCGCGCCGUAUUAGCUAGUUGGUAAGGUAACGGCUUACCAAGGCAACGAUACGUAGCCGACCUGAGAGGGUGAUCGGCCACACUGGAACUGAGACACGGUCCAGACUCCUACGGGAGGCAGCAGUAGGGAAUCUUCCGCAAUGGGCGAAAGCCUGACGGAGCAACGCCGCGUGAGUGAUGAAGGUCUUCGGAUCGUAAAACUCUGUUAUCAGGGAAGAACAAAUGUGUAAGUAACUGUGCACAUCUUGACGGUACCUGAUCAGAAAGCCACGGCUAACUACGUGCCAGCAGCCGCGGUAAUACGUAGGUGGCAAGCGUUAUCCGGAAUUAUU